rnacentral:rRNA from 1 species
AACGAACGCUGGCGGCGCGUUUUAAGCAUGCAAGUCGAGCGGCAAGGGGGGCUUCGGCCCCCCCUAGAGCGGCGGACGGGUGAGUAACACGUGGACAAUCUGCCCCCCGGUUCGGGAUAGCCCAGGGAAACCUGGAUCAAUACCGGAUGCGAGGGCGGUCGCAUAUGCGGCUGUUCGGAAAGGCGCUUCGGCGCCGCCGGGGGAUGAGUCCGCGUCCCAUUAGCUAGACGGCGGGGUAAGGGCCCACCGUGGCGAUGAUGGGUAGCCGGCCUGAGAGGGUGUACGGCCACAUUGGAACUGAGACACGGUCCAGACUCCUACGGGAGGCAGCAGCUAAGAAUCUUCCGCAAUGGGCGAAAGCCUGACGGAGCGACGCCGCGUGAACGAAGAAGGCCGUGAGGUUGUAAAGUUCUUUUCGGGAGGGGGAACGAACCUGCCAGGCAAUGGGCGGGCGCUGACGUGAAUCCCGGAAUAAGCCCCGGCUAACUACGUGCCAGCAGCCCGCGGUAACACGUAGGGGGCGAGCGUUGUUCGGAAUCAUUGGGCGUAAAGGGCGUGCAGGCGGCCGCCAAAGUCCGGCGUGAAAGACCCAGGCUUCAACCUUGGGGGG